rnacentral:rRNA from 1 species
UGGGGAAUAUUGGACAAUGGGCGCAAGCCUGAUCCAGCAAUGCCGCGUGGGUGAAGAAGGCCUGCGGGUUGUAAAGCCCUUUAGGUGGGGAAGAAAGGUACAGUGUUAAUAACAUAGUACUGUGACGUUACCCACAGAAUAAGCACCGGCUAACUCCGUGCCAGCAGCCGCGGUAAUACGGAGGGUGCAAGCGUUAAUCGGAAUUACUGGGCGUAAAGAGUGCGUAGGCGGUUUAUUUAGUCAGCCGUGAAAGCCCCGGGCUUAACCUGGGAAUGGCGGUUGAAACGGAUAAACUCGAGUAGGCUAGAGGAUCGUGGAAUUCCGGGUGUAGCGGUGAAAUGCGUAGAGAUCCGGAGGAACACCAAUGGCGAAGGCAGCGAUCUGGGGCCACACUGACGCUGAGGCACGAAAGCAUGGGGAGCAAACAGG